CUGAUUGUUUCUAUUUACAUGUACAUAUUUACAAUAUACAAUUUACGUUCGUUUUUCAACCGAGAAUAGCAAAACCUCAUGAAGUAUAUCGCUGGAGUUUAUUAACUACAUUUAAUUCCCCUGUGCCAUGGUUUGCCAUCUCCGUUUUUUUUUAACAAAGCAUGGUUGGUUACAUGUUAAGAAUUUACUUACAAUUUCGGGAUUUUUUUUUCAAAAGUAAACGGAAUCAGAAAAAAAAUCACCAUCCUAUGUCGAAUACCUAAAACUUGUCAAAGAAUAUGAAAAGUGUUUGUAGAAAAGUACGGUUUCAUUUUUCAAGUACAACGCUAAUUCAUCGAGUCCAUUG
rnacentral:lncRNA from 1 species